CCUACACCUCUCUGGGUGUGAGACCUCAGCCAGCUUGCUCCACAUUGGAAUCCUGCAUCCCCUGCUCUGCUAAAAGAUAGGCAUGGGUUAGGCUGCACCAGGGGACCAGCAGGAACUCAAGAAGCUCUGCCGCACUAUGAAUUGCUCUUCCCUGCUCUAAGACCCUGAGGAUCACCUCUCCCUGGGCUGCAACCUGGAAAAUGCUCCGCCUGCCACUGGGACACUGCAGAGUGGGAAGGGGCCACCAGAGCCAUCCACCCGAACAGGAUGCAAAAUGGGAUGCACAACUCUGCAAAAAAUGUAUCUGCCGAUGGACCCACACUGGAAAUGAAUCAGCAAAAAUGAAAAACAGCUGCAUGGGUGGUGAAGAGACAGGAAUGGAGCUGCGGGGUUUCAUUUGUCAUAUCUGCCUGUGAAGAAGAGCCUCUGCUGCCCUUGCUGUCCUCCUCCCCAGGCAAAGAAGACAGCUUUCCCUGAUGAAAGCAAGGAUAAAGGUGAAAUUUAAAUACAAAUGUCCACGACCAUUCUGAAGUAAUAAACAAUAACAAGGGAAAGUACGUGGUGCCUUU
ensembl:lncRNA